AACGAACGCUGGCGGCAGGCCUAACACAUGCAAGUCGAACGCCCCGCAAGGGGAGUGGCAGACGGGUGAGUAACGCGUGGGAACCUACCCUACGGUCGGGAAUAGCCCAGGGAAACUUGGGGUAAUACCGGAUACGCCUAACGGGAAAGAUUAUCGCCGUUGGAUGGGCCCGCGUCGGAUUAGCUAGUUGGUGAGGUAACGGCUCACCAAGGCGACGAUCCGUAGCUGGUCUGAGAGGAUGAUCAGCCACACUGGGACUGAGACACGGCCCAGACUCCUACGGGAGGCAGCA
rnacentral:rRNA from 1 species